UACGGAGGGUGCGAGCGUUGUCCGGAAUCACUGGGCGUAAAGCGUGCGCAGGCGGCCUCCUAAGUCAGAUGUGAAAUCCCCGGGCUUAACCUGGGAACUGCGUUUGAAACUGGGAGGCUAGAGUGUGGAAGAGGGGGGUGGAAUUCCAGGUGUAGCAGUGAAAUGCGUAGAGAUCUGGAGGAACACCGAUGGCGAAGGCAGCCCCCUGGGCUGACACUGACGCUCAUGCACGAAAGCGUGGGGAGCAAACAGG
rnacentral:rRNA from 1 species